GAAAGAAUGCUCCUCUUACUGGCAAUUCAAAGCAUUGGUCAAUAAAAGUCGGUAAAAGGGAAUUAAAAUUUUCCCUCCAAUUUAUUUCGAGAAUUUAUUCUCCCUCCAAUUUAUUUCGCGGCAAAAUAUUCCCUCUACCGCCGCAUAAUAGAGCAAACCUCUCUCCCUCAUCAUCACCAAGUAAUCUUAGUUUUCCUGCCGAAAUUCGUCGUUAAUUAUUGAUAUUUCUCAGAUCUAGUGUUGUUUCUGUGUCGAAUUGAUGAAAAUUUCACCAAUGCCUAAAAAUUCUGGGUCACUGGUGCGCAUAUCUGCUUGAAUUUUUAUAUUAUCGAUCUAUAAGAAACAGUGGAUAGGCGAUGUGGGUGUGGCUUUUCGAAUUAUUCUUCGGUACCAAGCAAAAUUUAUCUUCUUUUAUAGAGGAAUAACAGUAAUCGCAAGUUUGUCUGCUGCUCCAAUUUGGAGCUUGAAAUAUUUAAUGCAGAAAUCUGGAUCAAUCUGGUAAUUUUUGAUAUAGGUCAAUUUACAGCCACCAUAUCUGAAUAAGAAGUUAUAGUUCUACCAUUUUGUUCAAAGUAUCUUAAUAAUCUUGAAAUGGACUCUGCUAGUUGGUAUUGGGUUGCCAAAUUAAAGCAUAAAUUUUCACUUUUGGUUGACUUGGUUAGAUAUAAUUCACCAUCAUGUAAAGUCCUAGCAAGGCCCUGCGCGGAUCAAGCUCACACAUAGAUCUUUAUUCAUGUUAAAACUAUAUUACUAUUGUUGAUCUCAUGAUAGGAAUAAUCUGAUAGGAAGUUACAUGUUAAUUGCUUAAUCGGUUUCAAAAAGAGAAACAAAAUGUGAUCAUAUUAUUACUUACUACACAAAACGGUGGACCGGAUUCUUUGGUCCGACCUUCUGAACCAAGAUUGUACAACCAACUGUGAAUCUUGUUCUUUGCUCAUUUUCAGGUUAAACUUCAAUGAUAAAUGGGAGACACGAAUAUAUACCAAACUAAAGGAGGUGAAGCACCAUAUACGGUAUGAACAUUCACCAUUUAAACCACAAUAUCAAAAAAUUUCGUCACUUUUGUAACCUAAGGCAAUCAAGCACAGAUCUUUUUCUUUCGCUGCACUUAAUCCAUCCUUUUCAAUUAGAUCUUCUGGACUAAUUCCAUAUGGAAGCGCCCAGUUAAAGUGGUAGAGGAGCCGAGCCAAAGGAUGUUUAACAUUAGCUGAACCAAAUUACAUUCUUGGACAAAUUCUUUUUCCUGCAUCAAAUGGAAUAAGCUGAAAGUGAUUUCCAAUAAAGUCAACAGAAGAAUUUUCAAAUCUCUCUUGUAUAAAACUCUCAGGGUCAUGCCAACUUUCUGGAUCUCUUCCGAGUGCCCACGAAUUGAUUAGUACUCUGGUCCUGGGAGGUACUUUAUAUCCAUUAAUAUUGUAGACAAUAAAUUUGCGUCGAGAAAAUAAAAUCAAGAUUGAAAAAUAUCGUAACAAUCGUAGUAUUUUAUUUUGAAUAUUUGAGUGUCACAAUCUCUAUAAAUCCUCUGAUUCUUCUUUCCAAUUGUAAAUAAAUUCAAGGGUCUUUGAGCUUGAUUUUGAAUAUGUAGUUGUUGCUACGAACGAUGAUCUUGUUCUUGAGCUUUAGCUUGAUUGCUUGAACUUGAUUUUGAUUUGUCCUUCGUUCUUGAGCUUGAACUUGAUUUUUGUUCUUCGUUCUUGAGCUUGAACUUAAUUUCUUGAAGCUUGAAACUUGUUGAGAAAUUUGCGGCGUUUGAUCCACGAACUCUCUAUUGCUUUUUGUUAUAGCUUCUCGUGUCUUAUCUGAGUUAUAAAGACCCCUAUUUAUAGUUGUGGAAGAGAAGAGUUGUGAUAAGAACAAACUCUUUCUGACCAAUCAAAUUAAAGUAUGACAUGACCACAUUUGAUUGGCCAGAACAUGUC
rnacentral:lncRNA from 1 species